CCUACGGGAGGCAGCAGUGGGGAAUAUUGGACAAUGGGCGAAAGCCUGAUCCAGCCAUGCCGCGUGUGUGAAGAAGGCCUUCGGGUUGUAAAGCACUUUCAGUGGGGAAGAAAGCCUUGGGGCUAAUACCCUCGAGGAAGGACAUCACCCACAGAAGAAGCACCGGCUAACUCCUUGCCAGCAGCCGCGGUAAUACGGAGGGUGCGAGCGUUAAUCGGAAUUACUGGGCGUAAAGCGCGCGUAGGCGGUCUGAUAAGCCGGUUGUGAAAGCCCCGGGCUCAACCUGGGAACGGCAUCCGGAACUGUCAGGCUAGAGUGCAGGAGAGGAAGGUAGAAUUCCCGGUGUAGCGGUGAAAUGCGUAGAGAUCGGGAGGAAUACCAGUGGCGAAGGCGGCCUUCUGGACUGACACUGACGCUGAGGUGCGAAAGCGUGGGUAGCAAACAGGAUUAGAUACCCGUGUAGUC
rnacentral:rRNA from 1 species